rnacentral:rRNA from 1 species
UGGGGAAUUUUGGACAAUGGGCGUAAGCCUGAUCCAGCCAUGCCGCGUGCGGGAAGAAGGCCUUCGGGUUGUAAACCGCUUUUGUCAGGGAAGAAAUCUUCUGAGUUAAUACCUCGGGAGGAUGACGGUACCUGAAGAAUAAGCACCGGCUAACUACGUGCCAGCAGCCGCGGUAAUACGUAGGGUGCAAGCGUUAAUCGGAAUUACUGGGCGUAAAGCGUGCGCAGGCGGUUUUGUAAGACAGAGGUGAAAUCCCCGGGCUCAACCUGGGAACUGCCUUUGUGACUGCAAGGCUUGAGUGCGGCAGAGGGGGGAUGGAAUUCCGCGUGUAGCAGUGAAAUGCGUAGAUAUGCGGAGGAACACCGAUGGCGAAGGCAAUCCCCUGGGCCUGCACUGACGCUCAUGCACGAAAGCGUGGGGAGCAAACAGGAUUAGAUACCCUGGUAGUCCACGCCCUAAACGAUGUCAACUGGUUGUUGGGAAGGUUCCUUCUCAGUAACGUAGCUAACGCGUGAAGUUGACCGCCUGGGGAGUACGGCCGCAAGGUUG